rnacentral:rRNA from 1 species
AGGACGACAUUAGACGAAUCAUCUGGAAAGAUGAAUCAAAGAAGGUAAUAAUCCUGUAGUCGAAAAUGUUGUCUCUCUUGAGUGGAUCCUGAGUACGACGGAGCACGUGAAAUUCCGUCGGAAUCUGGGAGGACCAUCUCCUAAGGCUAAAUACUCUCUAGUGACCGAUAGUGAACCAGUACCGUGAGGGAAAGGUGAAAAGCACCCCGGAAGGGGAGUGAAAUAGAACCUGAAACCGUGUGCUUACAAGUAGUCAGAGCCCGUUAAUGGGUGAUGGCGUGCCUUUUGUAGAAUGAACCGGCGAGUUACGAUUUGAUGCAAGGUUAAGCAGUAAAUGUGGAGCCGUAGCGAAAGCGAGUCUGAAUAGGGCGUUUAGUAUUUGGUCGUAGACCCGAAACCAGGUGAUCUACCCUUGGUCAGGUUGAAGUUCAGGUAACACUGAAUGGAGGACCGAACCGACUUACGUUGAAAAGUGAGCGGAUGAACUGAGGGUAGCGGAGAAAUUCCAAUCGAACCUGGAGAUAGCUGGUUCUCUCCGAAAUAGCUUUAGGGCUAGCCUCAAGUGAUGAUUAUUGGAGGUAGAGCACUGUUUGGACGAGGGGCCCCUCUCGGGUUACCGAAUUCAGACAAACUCCGAAUGCCAAUUAAUUUAACUUGGGAGUCAGAACAUGGGUGAUAAGGUCCGUGUUCGAAAGGGAAACAGCCCAGACCACCAGCUAAGGUCCCAAAAUAUAUGUUAAGUGGAAAAGGAUGUGGCGUUGCCCAGACAACUAGGAUGUUGGCUUAGAAGCAGCCAUCAUUUAAAGAGUGCGUAAUAGCUCACUAGUCGAGUGACACUGCGCCGAAAAUGUACCGGGGCUAAACAUAUUACCGAAGCUGUGGAUUGUCCUUUGGACAAUGGUAGGAGAGCGUUCUAAGGGCGUUGAAGCAUGAUCGUAAGGACAUGUGGAGCGCUUAGAAGUGAGAAUGCCGGUGUGAGUAGCGAAAGACGGGUGAGAAUCCCGUCCACCGAUUGACUAAGGUUUCCAGAGGAAGGCUCGUCCGCUCUGGGUUAGUCGGGUCCUAAGCUGA